UCGCUAGGCCGCUCACUUCCAGGAGUCUGGGCGGGCGCCAUUAAGGAUUGUGGGAGCCCAGAGAAGGGUGUUGUGGAUUCUUCCUGGAGAUCAGACCGGAAAGCAUUCCUAGGAGAAGCAGGUAUUGGAAUUGGGCUUUGCAGGAUAAGUAGGAGUUUGUUAGCUGGGGAAAGGCAUUUCCAGCAGAGGAAAAAGAAUGGGCAAA
rnacentral:lncRNA from 1 species